GGCGAAGGCGGCAUACUAGUACUGGAAGUCGUACGAACUCUGGUAUUGAUUGGUGCUUGCAUCAUGAUUUACAUUUGAGUGAGUGGCGAACUGGUGAGUAACACGUGGGAAACCUGCCCAGAAGCGGGGGAUAACACCUGGAAACAGAUGCUAAUACCGCAUAACAACUUGGACCGCAUGGUCCGAGUUUGAAAGAUGGCUUCGGCUAUCACUUUUGGAUGGUCCCGCGGCGUAUUAGCUAGAUGGUGAGGUAACGGCUCACCAUGGCAAUGAUACGUAGCCGACCUGAGAGGGUAAUCGGCCACAUUGGGACUGAGACACGGCCCAAACUCCUACGGGAGGCAGCAGUAGGGAAUCUUCCACAAUGGACGAAAGUCUGAUGGAGCAACGCCGCGUGAGUGAAGAAGGGUUUCGGCUCGUAAAACUCUGUUGUUAAAGAAGAACAUAUCUGAGAGUAACUGUUCAGGUAUUGACGGUAUUUAACCAGAAAGCCACGGCUAACUACGUGCCAGCAGCCGCGGUAAUACGUAGGUGGCAAGCGUUGUCCGGAUUUAUUGGGCGUAAAGCGAGCGCAGGCGGUUUUUUAAGUCUGAUGUGAAAGCCUUCGGCUCAACCGAAGAAGUGCAUCGGAAACUGGGAAACUUGAGUGCAGAAGAGGACAGUGGAACUCCAUGUGUAGCGGUGAAAUGCGUAGAUAUAUGGAAGAACACCAGUGGCGAAGGCGGCUGUCUGGUCUGUAACUGACGCUGAGGCUCGAAAGUAUGGGUAGCAAACAGGAUUAGAUACCCUGGUAGUCCAUACCGUAAACGAUGAAUGCUAAGUGUUGGAGGGUUUCCGCCCUUCAGUGCUGCAGCUAACGCAUUAAGCAUUCCGCCUGGGAGUACGGCCGCAAGGCUGAAACUCAAAGGAAUUGACGGGGGCCCGCACAAGCGGUGGAGCAUGUGGUUUAAUUCGAAGCUACGCGAAGAACCUUACCAGGUCUUGACAUACUAUGCAAAUCUAAGAGAUUAGACGUUUC
rnacentral:rRNA from 2 species